UCCCCCAUCGUGUACUUCUUCUCCUCAUAGUUUGAGUCUGUGUACUCCAGGAGCAGGCGGAUGGAGUGAGCCAGCUGCGAGAAGCCACGGCAGAGUCAGGGGCGAAAAGUCAGCCUGCCUGCCUUUCUCUGCUCCAGAGGCCUGUGCGGGACAGCAGUACACACUGUGUCACAUAUCGAGUCCUAGUCCCGACCUCUAGUCUCGCUUCUGGACUGCUCGCCAUACCUUCCAGCUCCCCUGCUCACAUGCUGAACUUGCAAGUUUAAUUCACAAAAAUUCUAUGUAAAGUAGCCUCAGAAUGCAAAGCUGCCUAUGACAAAUGAAAACCAACAGUAGAAUUAAAGUGUGUCCUACUCAUGCCCUAAUCAAGUCAACAACUCAGCUCACCUUGAAAGCAAAACAAGUAGCCUUGACUGAUAUGCUCCCAAACCAAGAAACUACUACUCUGAGAAAGGAACAAAGCAGUAAAUUUCUUAUGUUAACUCUGCAAAAUAGUCUGGAAAACUGAUAAAACUUAUUGUCUCUUUAAAAAUAAACAUUUAGAGACCAUCUGGUGGGUCUGCAUCCCUAGCUCUUUGUCUUGCAACCGCCUGUAAAUCCGCUAGACAAUGCACCACCACGGGCUCUCUUGUCCCUUCCUGGCUCACCCCAGGAGCUCUGUCUGUCCUCUCACUGUAUCUCUCAAUAAAAGUCUCCCUGGCUCUUCUACCUUGACUGUUUGCUAAGUUCAUUCUUCAACUCCACAAACAAGAACCCCAGCAUCACUAAGUCAGGGACGUCUUCACUGGAAAAGGUCACUACCGCUCACCUCACUUCAGAGACCCUGACAGCAGAAGAGAACAUCCAACUGGGACAAGUGCAGGGAAAUUUAUUAAAGGGAAAUUGUGGAUAAAAUGAGAGUUCCUGUGGCCAGGAUUCUCACCUGCCCCUGGUUGACUAGCUCACUGCACACCUGUGGGCUAUGCAUGGCUGUUGACUCUAUAUAAAGAGCUCCACCCAGUGCUCUGGGCAGGACAUGGUGGCACGGCUCAAGGCUGCAGGAGAGCAGAGCAGAGGACAGAGACCCAGAAGACGACUGUGCGGGACGACUGUGCAGAGAGGCCCAGAGGACGGCUGUGUGGGAUGACUGUGCAGGCAGAGAGGCCCAGAGGCAGAGACCAGCUUGUUGAAUGCAGACUUGCUCUGAGUGAAUGGGAUUUUAGUGACUGACCUGCCACCUGGAAAUAAAGUUGGGUAUAACCCUUUCACCUCAAGAACGUUUUGCUGUCAAUUUCUUUGGUCACAUUGAACCCAUGGUGAACUUGCCUGGGGCUGAAACCCACUGGCAAGACAGAAGUGGAUAGCUUAAGCUUUCAAGGAUACCUGCAUUCUCCAGGGCUUCAUAAUGAGUUCGGCUCUGGGAUGAAGGGAGCAGCUGGCUUUGUAAAGGAAGGAAAUCUUCAGGCUCUGAAAAUGGGUAAGGAGAAGAGCCUGACUCAAUAUCUGGAACCCGUCAGAGCGCCAGCACUGAAGGCCCAGAGAGCCAGGGAAGCUGGUGGCAGCUCUGCUCUCUGGGGUUAACAGUGACAAAGAAGGAAGCAUCUGUGAACUCAAUCUGGGCUUUUCAUCCAACCUCCUUGAAACGAAAAGGGAAACUUAAGUAACGCAGGGGUUAACCAACUUCCUUAUGCUCCCUUAGCUAGUAAGUGGGAGGGCUGGAUUGCAGACUGGCCCUGACUCCUGGGCCUGUGCUUUUUCUGUAAACUCCUCUCACUGCCCCCACCCACCCUCAACCCCUGAAGAGGACUCAGUAUUCUUCUGUUUCAGGUGGAGACUCAUAUAUUCUCAAGGGCUGCAAACUUGAGCAGAGCAAAGGGGCUCAGAACACGCCUGCACAACUUGCAAGAGAGGCUGAAUGAGUCAGCAAAGCCUGCAGGUAUGUGGAUGGGAGAUGCAGAUCAGCAAAGCUGGGUGUGCCAGCCUCUCAUUAUUCCUCUCAGAGGAGAGGCUGAAACUUCUCAGCUUGAUUUUGGGACUGUCUCCAACUUCCCAGUGUGCUCUCGUAACUCUGUCUCCUGAUACCCUGAAGCAGGACAGUCUUAGGGGCAUAAUGUGAGCUGGGGAUUCAAGGACUAAUAGUUUCCCCAGAACCUGGAAAGGAUUACUGUGACCUCAUUUUCUAACACUAAAACCUUCACACCACUUCCUUCCACACUGCCUUUGAUGGAGUCAACAAUCCCUCCCCAGCUAUAGCUGUUCUCCACACCUCUUCCAAGAAGAACCUUCUGGCUUGGGAGAAAGACCUAACCACCCACUGGGCUCCCCUCUGCAGAGCCUGACCUGGAAGACGUGUCCCCCUGGUCUUCCAUGCCUCCUUGUCCCUGAGGGGCCAGCUCGGACAGGAUUGAAGUUUCCACUGGCCUCAGCUGUGGAUGGAGCACAGAACUCGUCCUGGAUAGUGCUGUGAAGGGCUAACAGGCUGGUUCCACCCACUCCUGCCCACUUGGCCUGCCAGGUGCUCUGAGACCUGGGAAAUGGGAAGCCUCCAACUAGAGACAUCUGGGUGAUAGAAUCCGGACAUGAGUGCCACCUUUCAAAGAAGCCCACCCGCCAUCACAGAGAGACCUAGGUGUCAUCUUACCUCGGCUACAAGCAUCCUCCAGAGGACACAUCAGCAAGCCACAAGCCCACCUUUCCCCUGACCCCUCUCCUCAAAGAGCCCGCCAAAACCCUGGCCAUAAAAAGCCUCUUGACCCAUUAGAGACCCUCUCCUUUGUUCUGCUGGCCAGGACAGAGGGGUCCCUCUCAGGUUCAGCAAUAAACCUGCUUGGACUGUUGAGUUCACAUCCCCUCUCUUCUUUCACGGGAGAAAAAGUGAGGUAGGUUUCUACCUUUCAACACCAGGA